rnacentral:rRNA from 1 species
UAUUUGGAGAGUUUGAUCCUGGCUCAGGACGAACGCUGGCGGCAUGCCUAAUACAUGCAAGUCGAACGAACACUUUUAGUGUUAGUGGCGAACGGGUGAGUAACACGUAAGUAACCAACCUAUGAGACGAGGAUAACUACUGGAAACGGUAGCUAAUACUGGAUAGGAUAUAGAAUCAAUGAUUUUAUAUUUAAAGAUGCCUUAAAGCAUCACUGAUAGAUGGGCUUGCGGCGCAUUAGCUAGUUGGUAGGGUAAAGGCCUACCAAGGCGACGAUGCGUAGCCGACCUGAGAGGGUGAACGGCCACACUGGGACUGAGACACGGCCCAGACUCCUACGGGAGGCAGCAGUAGGGAAUCUUCGGCAAUGGACGAAAGUCUGACCGAGCAAUGCCGCGUGAGUGAAGAAGGUCUUCGGAUUGUAAAGCUCUGUUAUUAGGGAAGAAAGAACUUAGCAGGAAAUGGCUAAGAAGUGACGGUACCUAAUGAGAAAGCCACGGCUAACUACGUGCCAGCAGCCGCGGUAAUACGUAGGUGGCGAGCGUUGUCCGGAAUUAUUGGGCGUAAAGCGUGCGUAGGCGGUCUAUUAAGUCUGAUUUGAAAGCCCAUGGCUUAACCAUGGAGGGUGAUUGGAAACUGGUAGACUUGAGUACAGGAGAGGAAGGUGGAAUUCCACGUGUAGCGGUGAAAUGCGUAGAUAUGUGGAGGAACACCGGUGGCGAAGGCGGCCUUCUGGCCUGUGUCUGACGCUGAGGCACGAAAGCGUGGGUAGCAAACAGGAUUAGAUACCCUGGUAGUCCACGCCGUAAACGAUGAGUACUAAGUGUCGGGGGAGACCUCGGUGCUGAAGUUAACGCAUUAAGUACUCCGCCUGGGAAGUACGGUCGCAAGACUGAAACUCAAAGGAAUUGACGGGGACCCGCACAAGCGGUGGAGCAUGUGGUUUAAUUCGACGCAACGCGAAGAACCUUACCAGGCCUUGACAUCCCAAUGACCGGUAUAGAGAUAUACCUUUCCUUUUGGACAUUGGAGACAGGUGGUGCAUGGUUGUCGUCAGCUCGUGUCGUGAGAUGUUGGGUUAAGUCCCGCAACGAGCGCAACCCUUGUUGUUAGUUGCUAACAUUAAGUUGAGGACUCUAACGAGACUGCCAGUGACAAACUGGAGGAAGGUGGGGAUGACGUCAAAUCAUCAUGCCCCUUAUGGCCUGGGCUACACACGUGCUACAAUGGUUAGAACAAAGAGAAGCGAAGCGGAGACGUGAAGCAAACCUCAAAAAACUAAUCUCAGUUCAGAUUGUAGUCUGCAACUCGACUACAUGAAGUCGGAAUCGCUAGUAAUCGCGAAUCAGCAUGUCGCGGUGAAUACGUUCCCGGGUCUUGUACACACCGCCCGUCACACCAUGAGAGUUUGUAACACCCGAAGCCGGUGGCCUAACCUAUUUAUAGGAGGGAGCCGUCUAAGGUGGGACAGAUGAUUGGGGUGAAGUCGUAACAAGGUAUCCCUACGGGAACGUGGGGAUGGAUCACCUCCUUU